rnacentral:rRNA from 1 species
GACGAACGCUGGCGGCGUGCUUAACACAUGCAAGUCGAACGAAGUGGCGAACGGGUGAGUAAUACGUGGGUAACCUGCCCUCCUUUUUGGGAUAAGCCUUGGAAACGGGGUCUAAUACCGAAUAAAGGGGGAUGGGCUCGCGGCCUAUUAGCUUGUUGGUGGGGUGAUGGCCUACCACGGCGGUGACGGGUAGCCGGCCUGAGGGGGUGACCAGCCACAUGGGGGCUGGGAUACGGCCCAGAGUCUUACGGAAAGAGAGAGUGGGGGUGGUUGAGCAAUGGGCGAGAGCCUGAAGCGGCGACGCCGCGUGGGGGCUGAGGGCUGUCGGGUUGUGAACCUCAUUCGCUAGCGAACAGGUAGGUGCAGAAGAAGCGCCGGCUAACUACGUGCCAGCAGCCGCGGUAAUAC